GCCAGAGACAAGCCUGCAACCGAGGUACAUGCCCUUGACUGGAAUCAAACCCAGGACCCUUUGGUCUACGGGCCGACACUCUAUCCACUGAGCCAAACCGGUUAGGGCAGGAAACCCAUUUUGAAUCCAGGCCUUGCUUUGGAUCUGAUGAGUCGGUCCCUCCCUGGCAAGGUCUGAAAAGUGGCAGAACAGUCACUUGCAACACAAAGGACUGAAAACACCUUUAGGCCUGACUUCCAACAGCCACCAUGGUCCAUGCCUGUCACCCACGGCCAGGCAAGGAGAAAGGAGGGAGUAGAAGGAGGCAGAUGGAAAGAGUGAGGAGCCAGCCGGUGCAAAAGCAGACCCACGGCGGCGAGAGUUCCAACCCCGGCUUCUAGGAGAAGCAGUGGCAAACACAGAUUUUAUUGACGUCGGCCCGAGACCUGUAGAGGACACUGGGAAAGUUUAAAUUGAGGAGUGGCGACAUGGGAAUAAGAGUUUGCACAUUGACAGAUGUCUUAGGUCUGGAUGCCCUGAAGCAAAGCCUGGGAGAGAGGUGAGUAAUCGCUGGUUGAGUGAGGAAGUGGGAGGAGGGGGGAGGAGCUCUGCAGACCCCUGAAAUCCUGCUGUAGGCUUAGAGCGGUAGCUUAGACACAGCGAGUAUUAAGACCUUAUUUUCAAGCUAAUUUUUUUAAGCCGUUGGGAAUAUAACCUAGAUAUAAAAUACAUUAAGCAACUAGUUAGGGAAAUAUUUAUUUAUUUUAAAUAUCAUGGAAGCUUUAUGUUAAUAGAACCCCUCCCCCCAUUUUCAUGAACAUUAAGACAUUGACUAGCCUCAAAACAUGCAAUAAUGACAGCGUUUUAAUCAUUCGCUUUCUACGUGCUUUUUAGAUCCCCUAAUAUUAAAUUUAGAUGACACCAAAUCAUUAAAUUUAGAUGACACCAAAUCAACAACUUAAACAUUUAGGUGUUGGGCUUAUUCUGCGGUUCAUGUCUAGAAAAUAACACAUUUGCGUGUAUUAAUAUGUUUGUCAUGAACGUAUUAAUACACCUGUAUUAACAUGACCCAUUUUGGGGCUGGUGUUAGGUGAAUGUUCUUGGAUUAUUACGUAUGGUUGGAUAACACAAUCCCCAUGCUGAGAUGGAGGUUAUCUUACAUCGUUAAAAACAGAGGAGCUAUCUUGUAAUAGAUUAGAAAAGGAUCUAAUUUAUAAAUAUGUACAGUCUCUGGCUUCUAUUCUGUGGUGUCUUGCUUUGGCUACAUGCAGAAGGCAUUCCAUUCCUAUUGUUCUGGAUGUCAUUGGACACAGGCAGGUGUUCCAUUUGGUGCCUUCAGGUCUUGGUUUUGCCCGAUAGGGAGACAAAGGCCUUUCGGUUUGCCCCGCUGCCUUGAUAGCCGCUUACACUAUCGUUUUUCCAAAGCUCGUGCCGAAAAGAGGUGGCCAGGUUAGAAAACACGUUGCAAGAAUUCUUUUUCCUCCUCGAGUAAAACACCGCCACCGACUUUUCACUUGCGAAGCAGUUCAGGAUCCCUCUUACGGUGCACAAAAAACACGUGGGCUCUUAGAGUCUCAAAAUACAGGAAACCACCGCUGGAGAUGGUGUCGCAGGAGCUUCGAACGCUGCCUCGGUCACACGUUGCAAGACAGACCACAGGUGUUACUCAUCUUCUGGCCUCCGGGCUUCAGCGCACCUCAAAGAUCCCAGACCAAAUGGUUCUCACCCUUGAGCUGCACUUAAAUCGCCGGACGGCUAGUGAAAACAUAGAACCCAGCCCAUGCACAGGGUUUCCGCCGUGUGGGUCUGGGCUGGCACCAGAGAAUUUGCAGCCCCAGCAUGAUUCCAAGAGAAGCUGAUGCCUCUGGUCCGAGGGCCAUGCUCGAAGAACCACGGUCACGCGCAGUUCUUGCUGAGCCACCCUAAGAUGACCUAGAUGCUGUGAAACGGGCGGCUCUGCAGCCCGAUGAAUCCAUCCUGGGCUCAUGCUGUUUCCAUGGAGCUCAUAAUUGUCAACAGCAGAGGGAAGAACGGAUGGGCACAGGUCAUUUCACAUUUUCAGUUCCUGCGUUUCUCCAUCAAGUUAGGCAUCCACACCUGAUAUCCUAGUCCUGAGCCCUCUUAAAACUUGUCUCCCCUCCCAUGCCGUUGCCUUUUACCGGAGCUCAGAGAAAUGGCUAAUCCGGAGAGAGGAAAGCAGGGACUGAGCUCUGUUAGUCCUGGCAAAAAUUCUAAGACAUUCCUAGGCACAGACCGGUCAAGGACAACUAUGCCAUUUCCGAGAGGAAACGGUGCUGACCGGUACAAAGCUGACCUUAUUUUUUAAAAACACGAUGGGCUGUCCCACAGAAUGGAGGGAAUAGACAUGGAUGUGUGUCCGGCUACUCCUCACCUUCCCUUUCCCCAUCUCCAACAAAAUAUCAGUCUCAAUUCUCUCCAAUUUCAACAAACAAGAGUCUCAAAGCUUCCA